rnacentral:rRNA from 1 species
UGCCAGCCGCCGCGGUAAUACGGAGGAUCCAAGCGUUAAUCGGAAUUGCUGGGCGUAAAGCGCGCGUAGGCGGUUUGACAAGUUGGGUGUGAAAUCCCCGGGCUUAACCUGGGAACUGCAUUCAAAACUUUUAAACUGGAGUACGGGAGAGGAGAGUAGAAUUCAUGGUGUAGCGGUGAAAUGCGUAGAUAUCAUGAGGAAUACCAAUGGCGAAGGCAACUCUCUGGACCGUAACUGACGCUGAGGUGCGAAAGCGUGGGUAGCAAACGGGAUUAGAUA